rnacentral:rRNA from 1 species
CAGUCGCCGCGGUAAUACAGAGGGUGCAAGCGUUAAUCGGAUUUACUGGGCGUAAAGGGCGCGUAGGUGGUUAUUUAAGUGAGAUGUGAAAGCCCCGGGCUUAACCUGGGAACUGCAUCUUAUACUGGGUAACUGGAGUGCAGUAGAGGGUAGUGGAAUUUCCGGUGUAGCGGUGAAAUGCGUAGAUAUCGGAAGGAACACCAGUGGCGAAGGCGGCUACCUGGACUGAGACUGACACUGAGGCGCGAGAGCGUGGGGAGCAAACAGGAUUAGAGACCCCAGUAGUCCCUGUCUCUUAUAA